GGCCCCAUCGUCUAACGGAUAGGACACCGCCCUUUCAAGGCGGAAACAGGGGUUCGAUUCCCCUUGGGGCCACCA
rnacentral:tRNA from 1 species